rnacentral:rRNA from 1 species
CAAGAGAUACCAUUUUUUAAAUUUAUUUUAUUUGAAUUUAUUUAAAAAUGGGGACAUAAAAUCGGAGGCCCCGACUGUUUACUAAAAACAUAUCACAGUGCAAUCAUUUAUAUGAUAGUAUACUGUGUGAAAUUUGCCCAAUGCCAUUAAUAUAAAUGCGAUCAUGAAAGUGAUUAAAUGAAAAUCUGGUUAAUAGCGGUCUUAACUAUGAGGAUCCUAAGGUAGCAAAAUCAGUUGGCCAUUAAAUGUGGUCUGGUAUCAAUAAUGUAACGAUGGUCUCACUGUCUCUACAACUUGCUCAGUGAAAUUGAAUUACGCGUGCAGAUGCGCGUUACCUCCAGGGGGACGGGAAGACCCUAU